rnacentral:misc_RNA from 1 species
GAUGAAGAACGUAGCGAAAUGCGAUAAGUAGUGUGAAUUGCAGAAUUCAGUGAAUCAUCGAAUCUUUGAACGCACAUUGCGCCCCUUGGUAUUCCAUGGGGCAUGCCUGUUCGAGCGUCAUUUGUACCUUCAAGCUCUGCUUGGUGUUGGGUGUUUGUCUCGCCUCUGCGUGUAGACUCGCCUCAAAACAAUUGGCAGCCGGCGUAUUGAUUUCGGAGCGCAGUACAACUCGCGCUUUGCACUCAUAACGACGACGUCCAAAAGUACAUUUUUACACUCUUGACCUCGGAUCAGGUAGGGAUACCCGCUGAACUUAAGCAUAUCAAUAAGCGGAGGA